ensembl:lncRNA
GGAGGCCACGUGUGUGUAUUCUGGUGAUGGCCCUGCUGAGGUUCCAGCUGACAGCCAGCAUCACCCAUCAGACACAGAGAGGAGAUACCUCCAGAUGAUUCCAGCCACCAGCUAUAGCUUCCCUACCCUUGAAUUUACCCACGUUUUUGAGUGUUCCCAGACAAGAAAGACCCCACACAUCACGAAGCAAGUCACAGGUUUCGAGGCUAUGUGGAGCAACAGGAAGGGGAACAGUGUGGCAGCCAGUGAGGCCACAGCUGGGGCUCCCUGACCUCAGAAUGCAGACCUCCCUCCAAAGCAAGCUCAUCAGCCUUGCUGUCUCAGAGGGUGUCUGGGUGGGAGGAUUUUUGCUGAGUUUUGUCUCCAACAACACUCGCCCACGUGGGCUAGACUUUGGUUGACCCACUGAGGACCAUCUGGCCUUUGAGGAACCCAGCUCCCCUCAGCCUUCUUCAAGCUUCAAGAGCAGCCAGGAUCCCAAAGGCAGCCAUCGUGUCUGGUCUCUUCAGGGUCUGACCGCCUGGAAGAAGAUUGGAACAGCAGGCACCACUUGACCCUGUGCCAGUGGUCAUUUUGCAGAUGGGUCUGUAAUCAGGAGAACUGCUGGGAAGCAGAGUAUAAUCUGAGUGUCUGACUGCUUGGGUUUGAAUCCUGCCUGUGCAGUCUCUAGCUGUAUGGCCUGGGUCAGUAAUAUAACCUCCCCAAGCCUAUUUCUUCAUCUGCGAAAUGGCACCCACCUUGUAAGGGUUCUCAUGAGGCUCGCCGAGGACAUUGUUGUGGGGAGCUUGGAGCUGGGGCCCAGCAUGGAGUCAGCUCACAGAAUACAUGUGCUAUCCCUGCCAUUCAUCAGCAGCAACCCUUAGCUCCUAGCGGUUUAUCUGCUGUCUCCAGGGCAGACUCUUUUAUUUCCUGGGAGCUUCCUACAAAGGAGACAAGAUAGCUUACAAUAACCCCAAGAAGGCUGAGCUCUUUCAAAAGUUAAUUUUGAAACAUUAGUAAAGAUUCCAGAC